rnacentral:rRNA from 1 species
AUUGAACGCUGGCGGCAGGCCUAACACAUGCAAGUCGAGCGGAUGAGUGGAGCUUGCUCCAUGAUUCAGCGGCGGACGGGUGAGUAAUGCCUAGGAAGCUGCCUGGUAGUGGGGGACAACGUUUCGAAAGGAACGCUAAUACCGCAUACGUCCUACGGGAGAAAGUGGGGGAUCUUCGGACCUCACGCUAUCAGAUGAGCCUAGGUCGGAUUAGCUAGUUGGUGAGGUAAAGGCUCACCAAGGCGACGAUCCGUAACUGGUCUGAGAGGAUGAUCAGUCACACUGGAACUGAGAAACGGUCCAGACUCCUAGGGGAGGCAGCAGUGGGGAAUAUUGGACAAUGGGCGAAAGCCUGAUCCAGCCAUGCCGCGUGUGUGAAGAAGGUCUUCGGAUUGUAAAGCACUUUAAGUUGGGAGGAAGGGCAGUAAGUUAAUACCAUGCUGUUUUGACGUUACCAACAGAAUAAGCACCGGCUAACUUCGUGCCAGCCGCCGCGGUAAUAC